rnacentral:rRNA from 1 species
UACGUAGGCAGCAAGCGUUGUUCGGAAUUACUGGGCGUAAAGAGUGUGUAGGCGGUGCUCUAAGUUUGGUGUGAAAUCUCCCGGCUCAACUGGGAGGGUGCGCCGAAAACUGGAAUGCUUGAACGUGGGAGAGGAAAGCGGAAUUCCUGGUGUAGCGGUGAAAUGCGUAGAUAUCCGGAGGAACACCUGCGGUGUAGACGGCUUUCUGGACCAUUGUUGACGCUGAGACACGAAAGCGUGGGUAGCAAUCAGG